rnacentral:rRNA from 1 species
GAUUAACGCUGGCGGCGUGCCUAACACAUGCAAGUCGAGCGGCAGCGCGUUUUACACUGAAUUCUGGAAGCUUCUAGUUGAAAGAGAAGAUUUAUUCAAGAAUUUUGUGUAAAAUGUCGGCGAGCGGCGGACGGCUGAGUAACGCGUGGGAACGUACCCCAAAGUGAGGGAUAACGCAUCGAAAGGUGUGCUAAUACCGCAUAUGGUCUUCGGAUUAAAGCCUUCGGGCGCUUUGGGAACGGCCUGCGUAAGAUUAGAUAGUUGGUGGGGUAAUGGCCUACCAAGUCGACGAUCGUUAACUGGGUUGAGAGGAUGGUCAGUCAGACUGGAACUGAGACACGGUCCAGACUCCUACGGGAGGCAGCAGUGAGGAAUCUUCCAAAAUGGGCGAAAGCCUGAUGGAGCAACGCCGCGUGCAGGAUGAAGGCCUUCGGGUUGUAAACUGCUUUUAUAAGUGAGGAUUAUGACAGUAACUUAUGAAUAAGGAUCGGCUAACUACGUG